AAUUGAUUCCUUACUACGAAAUUUAUUUCAACAAUGUAACCAAAUAGAAAAUUCUACAGAGCUAUGGGCAGCCCUAUUUUAAAACAACUUGGACAAAUUCUGAAUGUCGCCAUGGCGUUCACAAAUCUAACAAAAUUACCGACCUUUAACAAGUUUGUGUGUAUGUUCUCUAGCAGAAGAAAUAGUCCGAUGCCGAAAAUACCAGCGUUACCCCUAAAAGGUCCACGAAAUUAUAAGUACCUUCGUUAUUUGAAGCGGAAACUGGAAAAGGAUCAUAGAUCCAAUACGCAUCGGCCUGUAAGGAGACUACGUAGAAAAAUACGAAAACCCAAAAGAAAGGAAGAAAAGCCAUUUAAAUAGACCAAAUUUAAAUAUUUCGCAGAUGGGCAGCACUUUAAACGACUUGGCAGCAUUCGCACCCACACAGCUGUUUAAUAAUCUUCAUUAAAAUACUCAUUUAUAGUAUCGAA